CCCUACGGGGGGCAGCAGUGGGGGAUAUUGCACAAUGGGGGGAACCCUGAUGCAGCGACGCCGCGUGGGUGAAGAAGCGCCUCGGCGCGUAAAGCCCUGUCAGCAGGGAAGAAAAUGACGGUACCUGAAGAAGAAGCCCCGGCUAACUACGUGCCAGCAGCCGCGGUAAUACGUAGGGGGCAAGCGUUAUCCGGAUUUACUGGGUGUAAAGGGGGCGCAGACGGCGAUGCAAGCCAGGAGUGAAAGCCCGGGGCCCAACCCCGGGACUGCUCUUGGACCUGCGUGGCUGGAGUGCAGGAGGGGCG
rnacentral:rRNA from 1 species